UGUAGGCGCAUUGUGAACGCUGUUUUAAUAGAAUAAGAGGCGAAGGAAGUGUUUUUGGUAAUCUUCACAGGGAAUUUACAUGUGUUUUUUUAGUUGUUUUUUUCUCUCUCCUCCACCUCCUGGCUUUUGAUUAGUUAAAACACUGGAAACAUCCAGGUGGCCUUGUCCCCUCCGUCUCUGUGUGCCUUGCUGAAGUUGCUGUCUCGGAGAUCAGAGAUGGUCUUCGACAGUCCCAUCUGAACAGAUCUGAAUUCAACCAUCCUGAAAAAUCACCUAGCCCUACAUGACUGCCACUCCAUUUAUACAUCAGUGCCACCUAGUGCAGGAAAAGAUCCCGGAGAAGCUCCCUCCCCCUGCUGUGCCAGGAGCUGCUCCUGCUGCGUCAGACUAGAGCAAGGGACAGAAGAGAGGCGUUACUGAGAACACCAUCCUCCCACUGCCAUG